rnacentral:misc_RNA from 1 species
UCCGAUUUGUCACCGGCAGUCUCCCAUGAGUCCCCGGCAUUAUCCGCUGGCAACAUGGGACAGGGGUUGCGCCCGUUGCGGGACUUAACCCAACACCUCACGGCACGAGCUGACGACAGCCAUGCAGCAUCUGUGCGCGCUCCCUUGCGGGUCAUCCCUGUUUCCAGGUCUUACCACGCGCAUGUCAAGCCCAGGUAAGGUUCUUCGCGUUGCGUCGAAUUAAACCACACGCUCCGCUGCUUGUGCGGGCCCCCGUCAAUUUCUUUGAGUUUUAGCCUUGCGGCCGUACUCCCCAGGCGGGGUACUUAAUGCGUUAGCUACGGCACGGACGGAGUCGACACCGCCCACACCUAGUUCCCAUCGUUUACGGCGUGGACUAC